rnacentral:lncRNA from 1 species
AAAUCAAAAUCUGACCCCAGCAUUAGCCAUGAGGUAGGUUCCUGUUGAGGAAUGCAGGGGUUUCUCUUCCAACACUUGUU